AGGCUGGCUGGAGGAGACUCCCCUGGGAGCUGCAGUGUGAGGAGAAGCACUUCAGUGAUGUAGCUCUACCCAUUUGCAGACUCUUGUGGCUUCCAUCAUGUUCUGACACAGGAUGGGGCCCCUGGCAGGCAGAGGUGGCACAGAGUGUGCACAUCACAGAAGAGGUGGCAGAGACUCCACACCUGUCUUGCUGGAACCCCUCUGCUGUCAGGACAUGAUUGAGAGUCAGAGGAUCUUAAAUUCAUCCAGGCUGGGAAAGAGCUCCAAGACUGAGUCCAACCUUCUAUCCAAAGACAA